rnacentral:lncRNA from 1 species
UCUUAACAGAGUUUUAAAGCUUGUUGUUACACAAAUGCAAUUCCCACUGCCAAGAGUAAGCUAAUAUAUUCUUGGCAUGCUUGGUAAGUCUUAAAUCAGAGACAGUGGGUACGUUCUGCUUGACGUCCAGAGGAAGAAAACUUCACUUGGAUAGCUGCAUGUGGUUUUGUGUGCUGCUGUCUCAUGUCUCAUAGAAGAGCAAGAGUGGCUAGACAACAUGUGAAGAAGCACUACUCUAGAUUACCUCAGAUGGCAACUAUGUGCCCUGAACUGCUGUGAGGGUAUUUCUGGGGUCAUCAGCCAUCCCAUGGGGAAAUGAGUCAGCAAAAGCGUAAGUGAUUUCAACACUUCUGUUAUAAAUUCCAUAGAUUAGUAAUAUGAACUUUACAAAAGUUUUGCUAAUUUGGGACCUGUGAGACUUUCCACUGAGUAACUUUAGCUUUAAAAAGGUAUACACAGCACCAUGAUAUUUGCAUUAAAGUGUUAGGGAUUGAAGCAGGAACAAGAUUUUACUUUGCUGUUGUAUGGCUGCACUUGAAAACAAUUCCUGCCUUAGGUUAAACCUUAGCCAAGGCAAGACACAACU